CCACAAAUAACACCUUUACUAUAUACGGGCGUGGACUAUGAUGGGCUUCGGCCCAGCCCUCUCUCCUCCCACUGUGGGAGGAUACUUGGGAAAUUUUGGUUUCGAACAGGGUCGUUAUAAAAUGCUUAACCAAAGGAAAACUCAUUAUUUAGGUAUGCUAACUUUGCAGGUUACACAUUAUUACUUUGUAGCUGCGAAAAUGCCGACGCACGUGGCAGACAGACAGACAAUUGUGCUGCAGAUAACAGGUUGCCAGAUUUGAUCAGAUUGAUCUGAAUGUGUCUUAAGGCUUUGACCCCCACAUUGCAAAAUCAUAACCUGGCAACUCCGCAGAAUUUGAAAAGAAUCCUUGAGCACACAAUUUGAUUGAUGUCAUAAAUAGUGAGGACAGUUGGUUACCAUGCCAAUGGGCAAGCUGGGUACAUAAAAUAGCUCCAGAAUGUUCAGUUUCCCACACACUUAAUUGUGUAACACACAGCGAGUCAGCUAGUAGUUUGAGUUGUUAAUGUUUACUCAUUGUCUUUGAGAAUUAGGCUAUAUUUGUCAUCAAAAUGUCACAGCGUGCCCACAAGGAAGGGCUGUGCAAUAUCAAGAUUUUAUGUUUGGCCUUUAUUUUCUGUCUCAUAAAGCCAGUUUUUGCAAAGCCAACUCCUGCAAAUGUUUUUGCUUCCUCAUCAUCGCUGGAGCACAUGACUUUGAUCAACCCUGUUCAGAACAACCCCGAUGUCACAACCCCAAAACUGACCCAUUUUGUAAACACAUUGCUUGGACAAUUUGAGAGUUUGCUGGUGAAAGAUGGUACUUCUCCAGGUAAUUUGGACCAGGUGACUCAAGGAUAUCCCGAACCCUACACAAAUGCUAAAGACCCCCAGGGGCUUGUGAAGUCUCUAAUGUCUGUUCUACAGACUUACAAGAAGCAAACAGCAUCACGAGGCAAUGAUCACGUCUUCAAACUGUGGGGAAAAGCUCCAAAAACAAAGAAGAGCACCAAUGAAAUCAAACCCAGAGUCAACAUAUUGACAGACCCCACUUACUUCGAGCCACUUGUGAAAGUUAACAUGAUUUUGGGCCUCUUUUUCUAUGGCUUCAUCGUGAUAGUGUUUAUCUACGACUCUGUCCGAGUUUCCAUGGAGGCCAGAAGAAGAUCUGACGCUCUAGCUGAUGCUAGGCUGAAGAGAACAGAACCACCCCCUGUUGAACCACAGUCAACUUUAUCCAAAUGUACACUCUCUAUGAUGCCUUACUCUGUGUGCCGUUAAUUUGCUUGAACGUGUGAUCCCUGGCUAAGUUAAGUCUACACUGACUGCAGGGUCUCACAUACUGUUGUAACAAUGCCCUCUUUCCUUUUAGAUCGGCAGAGCAUCGCUUCAUUGUUUCACUUGGAAAAUACAUCAUCCAUAGCUGACCAGUAUAUAUAUAUUUGUGAGAUGCAAUAGCAGUAGUCAAAACAAGCUGUACAUUUUUCAAACUGUCUAUGUAUGUGUUUAAACUGUUAAUGACUGAGUCUGUGUGUUGUAUAAGUGUAUUUCAAACAUUAUUGUUUCGUUGCUUCUGUAGGAAGAGUCUGAGUCAAACAUACAAUUUGCAGACUGUGCAAAUGGAAAAAGUGCUGUCAGCCUUAGAGAGUGGGAGCCUCUGCCUAAGUCUCAGCUGACUGAUGUUUGCGUCAACUGAGGACCACGUCUUAAUACCGAGUGACAUAAUGGAAGCAACAGAAAUGAACUCUCCAAAUAAGAUCAUGUUGAGACUGCCACCUUUGAAGACCGCCACUUUCUGUCUCAUCACUUAGCCCAAUACUUACGUUAGUAAUAAACAUAUCUUGCAUUCAAAAUAUAGGCCUAUGUGAAAAGUAGUUUUUGGUAUAUAUGAUUAACUGCUAUAUUAAUUUAUUUCUUGAUUACUUAUGAAAAUGUAAAAAG